UACGAAGGGGGCUAGCGUUGCUCGGAAUCACUGGGCGUAAAGCGCACGUAGGCGGAUCUUUAAGUCAGGGGUGAAAUCCCGGAGCUCAACUCCGGAACUGCCUUUGAUACUGGAGAUCUUGAGUCCGGGAGAGGUGAGUGGAACUGCGAGUGUAGAGGUGAAAUUCGUAGAUAUUCGCAAGAACACCAGUGGCGAAGGCGGCUCACUGGCCCGAUACUGACGCUGAGGUGCGAAAGCGUGGGGAGCAAACAGG
rnacentral:rRNA from 1 species